GUCUGCUUCUGAACUCGCGAUACUUGAGGACGAAGAGGCAAGCGGAAUUUUGUGGUGUAGCCGGUUAUUAUGCGUAGAUAUCAUGAAGAAACACCAAUUGGCGAAGGCAGCUUGCUGGGCCGGUCCUGACGCUGAGACACGAAAGCGUGGGGGAGCGAACCGGGAUUAGAUAGCCCAGUAGUACACGCCGUAAACGAUGAUCACUAGCUGUUUAGAGUUUCGACCCUUUAUGUAGCGUAGCUAACGCGUUAAGUGAUCCGCCUGGGGAGUACGAUCGCAAGAUUAAAACUCAAAGGAAUUGACGGGGACCCGCACAAGCGGUGGAACAUGUGGUUUAAUUCGAUGAUAAGCGGAGAACCUUACCGAGGCUUGACAUCCCAGGAAAGUCCCCGAAAAGGGACCGUGCCCGCAAGGGAAUUUGGUGACAGGUGCUGCAUGGCUGUCGUCAGCUCGUGUCGUGAGAUGUUGGGUUAAGUCCUUCAACGAGCGCAACCCUCAUUCUGUGUUACUUUUUCGCAGAAAACUGCCCUGGUCAACAGGGAGGAAGGUGGGGAUGACGUCAAGUCAGCAUGGCCCUUACGCCUCGGGCCACACACGUGUUACAAUGGCCGGUACAAUGAGUCGCAAACCCGAGAGGGGAAGCCAAUCUCAUCAAAACCGGUCCCAGUUCGGAUUGAAGGCUGCAACUCGC
rnacentral:rRNA from 1 species